CAUGCUUUUGUAUUUCAUUGACUCGAGAGAGAAGGGUAGGUCUGAACAUCAGCUCAGCUCAACGAAGAUUGGCAGUUAAAUAAAUUUGAAUCUUAGUUUUUUCUCUUCAUUAUUUUUAUCAUCUUCUUCAUUCUUGAGGUCAUGGCAUUGAUGAUGAGAUCACUGGUGAAGCUACUGAUGAUACUAAUGUCACAGCCAGCUGCCUCUCUCACCACCUUACUGUAUUACAGCAAUCAUCUUCCGAGAAACUUGACCUUAGAGAGAUUGGUUCGUCGAGAAUUGCUUCAUGAGGAAAACUAUUUGUUUAAUUUUCUCAUCAGUAUUUUGAGUUGUUUCUGGUAGCUAUAGCAUUAGAUUAAAAUUUUAUCAAAUAUUUCCAUGCUGUUUUUAAACUCAAUCGGUUUCAGAGUGAGAACUGCAUACUUGUCAUGCAAUGUAUCCAUGGAUGGAUUGGUGAGUCGUUUAGUCUUUGACCUUUGAAGAGACGCAAGAAAAUAUAAGGCUUUGUUUAAAUGUAAUGGUUACAAAAUAUUAAAAAAUUCCUUUAUAAAUUAUUUUCUUAAA